rnacentral:rRNA from 1 species
GAUGAACGCUGGCGGCGUGCCUAAUACAUGCAAGUCGAGCGAACGGACGAGAAGCUUGCUUCUCUGAUGUUAGCGGCGGACGGGUGAGUAACACGUGGAUAACCUACCUAUAAGACUGGGAUAACUUCGGGAAACCGGAGCUAAUACCGGAUAAUAUUUUGAACCGCAUGGUUCAAAAGUAAAAGACGGUCUUGCUGUCACUUAUAGAUGGAUCCGUGCUGCAUUAGCUAGUUGGUAAGGUAACGGCUUACCAAGGCAACGAUGCAUAGCCGACCUGAGAGGGUGAUCGGCCACACUGGAACUGAGACACGGUCCAGACUCCUACGGGAGGCAGCAGUAGGGAAUAUUCCACAAUGGGCGAAAGCCUGACGGAGCAACACCGCGUGAGUGAUGAAGGUCUUCGGGUCGUAAAGCUCUGUUAUUAGGAAAGAACAUAUGUGUAAGUAUCUGUGCACAUCUUGACGGUACCUAAUGAGAAAGCCACGGCUAACUACGUG